UACGUAGGGUGCAAGCGUUGUCCGGAUUUAUUGGGCGUAAAGAGCUCGUAGGCGGCUUGGCAAGUCGGGUGUGAAAACUCCAGGCUCAACCUGGAGAUGCCACUCGAUACUGCCAUGGCUUGAGUCUGGUAGGGGAGCACGGAAUUCCUGGUGUAGCGGUGAAAUGCGCAGAUAUCAGGAGGAACACCGGUGGCGAAGGCGGUGCUCUGGGCCAGUACUGACGCUGAGGAGCGAAAGCGUGGGGAGCAAACAGG
rnacentral:misc_RNA from 1 species